AAUGAUAUCUGUAUGUCACUGUAAUGUUGGCCUUCGUGGGGAACCACACUUGGUGGAGCCCGAUUCCCUUGUCUCAGACCAUGGUUAGUUACAUAAUUUUAUGGACUAUAGAGAUGGCGUCCCACUGAUGUGAGAAACAUCACAACAGCGAGGAAAGCACUGUGAGUAUAUCAGAAUGAAAACAUCCCUGCUUCCCAGUCCCCGUGCCCGGCUACUAUCCACACUUGACAUGCGGAGCAAUCCUGCAUGUUGGUCCCCAUCUCCCCCACUAGAAACCCACUUCCAGAGUCAUGUUUGCAUCACAGUCAAAAGAGAAGUCUGUGCACCUCAAGUGAGGUCCCAGGAGCUUUCCUCGCCCUCCAAACCAAGCAUUGAGGGUAACCCUCAGAACCCAUUCUCCUAUCUCCUAAAGUGUCGGGGAAAGUUACUGGCCUCUCUCAACAGGGCUCACUCUGAGCUCCACAUCCGCCUCCUUCAAGCAAAGACUUAAAAAGACUGCCCUUGACUCCUUGACACUAUAUCAAGUGCUGUGUAAGAGAGACUGGUCCGUGGGACCAGCCACACACAUUACCUCUUCCACUUGAAAUGACUCUAAGGUUUUCAUUUUAUUCAAGCUUUGUGGGACAGACAAACUUUUUAAAAAUUACUUUGUUGACUGACAAACCAGCUGCCAGCUUCUGGCUGCAAAACUGCCUGGUGAAAUUGACUUGCUUGGUUUCAUUCACCAAACCAACCCAAGUCGUGUCAUUCUUGCCUAUUAACAUCUGAUGUAAGGCGCUCAUAUAGGCUGUGUGUACAAUCUUGGGCACUGAUUCCAUCAGUAGUAUCUUGUACCAUCCAAGGAGAGGGCCAGGAAAACAUCCACCAUCAAAUGGUUUUCCAGCUCCCUCAUCUCUUCAAAAUUGAGUUCUUGGGAGAACAAAAGGUAUGUAUCCUGCAGUAGUUAAGCCCUUAAAUAAUUGGGAGUUGGGAAAUCGGAAUCAAAGUAUUGGUGCCAGCUCACUGAAGAUCUGAUUGGGUCAACAGUUGAUUAGUGGAAGACGGAGAGCAGAAGAAUUUUGUCAUAUCUAUUAGGCCAGAAAGUAAUCACUGAAGAAGCAGAUGGUAGGAGCUGGAGCAAGGUGGUCCACAGGGGAAUGCCUCUCCUGUGCCCAUUUUAUAAUACCUCGCCAAGCUUGGGUCUUUAGAUGAGCAAGAUUAUGGUUAGUGGGGGCUCUGUGGAGCAUGCACGUAGUGCCCUUCCUUCAUCAGGCCAAAGCACCAAGUUGCUUCACUGCCUCGGCCUUUUGUCCAGCUCAGCCUGGGAUGUCUAUAGGGUUGAGGGUUUUAGACAAUCUCUAGGAAAGGGAUACAAAACAGAUCCGAUGGAAGAAACCUACUUCCCUAUCCUGCCUAUCCUGCCCCUCAACCUCUUCAUUCCUAAUUCCUCCAAGGUACUAUUUCAUAGUUGCUCUGAAUUAAGGAUUUCAGGUUUAACUGGUAGUGAAAGACUGCACCUAGCAUCUUCGGGAAGAAAUGAUUCCAGUCUAUUGGCUGAUACUACAUUAGUUUCCCUUUCUGAUUCUUAAUCUGUAGUUCUUUGUUAUAUUUCACAAAAAAAAAAAAUGUCUCGGUCACUACGCAAAGCUGCUAGUGGGGUUCUGUAUUUUGUGUCAUCUUUUUUAUUAUAAUUUAUUGCAAUUUUAUGAAUAAAUAUAUGUUGUGUG
rnacentral:lncRNA from 1 species